AUACGUAGGGGGCGAGCGUUGUCCGGAUUUACUGGGCGUAAAGGGUGAGUAGGCGGUUAUAUAUGUCAGGUGUAAAAAGCUAUGGCUUAACCAUAGUAAGCACUUGAAACUGUAUGACUUGAGUGCGGGAGAGGUAAGCGGAAUUCCUAGUGUAGCGGUGAAAUGCGUAGAUAUUAGGAGGAACACCGGUGGCGAAGGCGGCUUACUGGACUGUAACUGACGCUGAGUCACGAAAGCGUGGGUAGCAAACAGGAUUAGAUACCCUGGUAGUCCACGCCGUAAACGAUGAGUGCUAGGUGUUGGGCAGCAAUGCUCAGUGCCGAAGUAAACACAAUAAGCACUCCGCCUGGGGAGUACGUACGCAAGUAUGAAACUCAAAUGAAUUGGCGGGG
rnacentral:rRNA from 1 species